UGUGCCCGGCCCGGGUGUCGUCCCAGAUAAACGAGGAGCCCCGCUGCCACGCUGAGCUGGAUGCAGCUCUCAGUGUCAUUUCCGACCUGGAUUUCAGUCCUGAGUCGUUGGCUUGCAGGAACUUAAUUUUCAAGGCAGGCAGUAUAAUUAGCAGGGUGUGCCUACCUAGCCUGAGUAAUUAAGGAGCUCAGCCCCACCAAGGCUGUUUCCUUGGUGCUGUCGCUGUUGCGUUUCUGGUCGUCGCUUCUCACCUCAGUGCUCCCUGCCGGUCGUGGCUUUGUGGACUGGAAUGGUCGGCACACCUUUCCUACCUGGGCUGGUAGCCCGAGCUGUUUUCUCCCCUCGUGAAAGUAGUUUGUGACCUAGAGAAAUGAACUUAUCAACUAUCUCUACAACCUGUCAGCUUGAAUUUCUUAAACCUGCAAUGAGAUUGAGAAGCGUGUUGUUCAUUGCGGUAUGUUUUGUGAGGAAAACUCUCAGACGUUACUCGCACACCAGCUGUGAGAGGUGCUAUAAUCCGCAUCAACCACGGUGAUAAAACAUUGACCAGAAGCUUUGCUGGUGUUUGCAUGUGUGUGUCUCAGUAUGAAGCUACAUCAUGACUUAACAGGUGUGCAGCACCUAGAAUGCAUCCCUAUCUCUGUCUAAACUGUCCGUGAUACCAGGAGAAUGAUUCUCCAGUCAUAUCCUGAUACUGGGUAUGAACCUUUUUAUGGACUUUGAAUUAGACCUGAGGGCUAUUAAAUAGCGGUGUCUCAUUGAGACUUGGAUGGGAUGUUACAGCUGUGAGACCCAGUGGUCACGCAACAGACCCAAAAGGGGAGAUUGUCUGUCAAAAGGAGAUUCCAUUUGGAGUGUUUCUCAUGUGAAUGACAGAGACCGAAUGUCUACUGAAGGUCGCCCUAUAGACAAAGUAAUUCCUUGCAGUGGGACACAGUUUGGGUCUGAGGAGCUGGAUCAGUUCUGAUACACUGUGACCAGAGUUGUUGGAAGAGUGGUAAACUUCAUAUCCAAAAUUAUAAGCCUCAUUUGGAAACUUCAGCUCAGGAAACUCCAGUAAUUUUUCCAAGUGAGAUCUGUGAAAAUUAUGCCUUAAAGAACUGUGAAGGCAAGCAGGUUUCUUUGAAAAGGGUUUUCUACUAAGACAAAUGACUGCAUGAAGAUUAAAAGAGCCCAGUGACCCAGUAAGACUGAAAGCAUCCACAUACUUUUGGUUAACCAAGAAAGAAUAAAAUGUCAGAACUUUUCUUGCAGAAUUGUCUCUGUUUUAAGCUUACACCAAACUUCUACAGCUUAACAGCUAAAGUAAGUAAAAAAUACAUAAGCUGGCUCUGUGUCUAGGACAUUGAGCUUGCUUUCUCCACUACAAACAAGAGCUCAUUGGAGCUGCUCUGAGAGUGACCAAGAAAUGUCCUCCUCCAUCCCUACAAGUUACACUGUUGUCAUUUCUGUGUAUCCAUUUUGGUUGGGUUUUCCUAGCCUACACAGGCAAACAGCUUCAAUCUGUGGGAUAAAAUACAAUGGAUGAGUUUGAUGAUCCCAGCUGACUACAUCUAAACUACCCUCUUGGCACAAAAGUACAAUUUCAGCAAGAGCUGCCUGAUGUGACAUGGCUGACCCUGUGACUUUUGUAUUACUGCUCACCACUUGCUUCUGAGAGCCCAAAAGGAUUGCAGCAGCAAGCUGAGGAAAGAGAGCGUUCACUCUGCAGCAGGUGAUGAGUAAGUCCCACAAGACUUUCCUUCUAUUUCUUGAAGUGGUACAUGAAAGUUAUUAGGUCUUUAAUUUGGUAAUUUAACUUGAUGCUUAAAAUGCCGAAGGAUGAAAGCUACAAUUCAGACAUAAUGAACUUUCCAGUGAACUUGAACUUUGAUUAAAAGUGUAAUAAAUAUUAGCUUGAACUAUUUAGUGGAGUCUCUGCUGUCCUUUUGUCUACCUUUCUCCUUUGUCUCUCAUUUUACUGUACUCUGUUCCUCUUCUGAGAGGAUCUCCCACUCCUGACUGAGGGUAUUUGGAGGUGUGAGACCCAGAACACGGGGUCACAGCUCUGCCAGGCAUUGUAGCUGUGCAAGUGGAAGUGAUUGCUACCCACUGAGCUCACAGACCUCCUUCUGCAUCCUCCUAGUGGAUGCAGCUACAUGGAAAGCUUGCUCCCACCAAUUACACAAUUGCCAAAAAACUGCACUGUGUGAGCUCAUGGGGUCAUGAUGAGCUCACCCAAGGACAGGGAUGGCUCCCCCGAGGGCAGUGCCCUGCCACUGGGGCAGUCACCUUCCAGCCAGAGGUGCCUGCCUUGACUCAGUGUCCCAGAUUUAAAAGAGUCAGGA